GCUCCCGCGGCUCCGCUCUGGGUGAGCCUCUGGUGGGCGCUGCUCAUUUUAUGGUUCGGGCUGAGAGGAGGAAAGAAAAGACAGAGGAGGAGUGG